UGGAUCCAGACUUUGAUCAUGGCUCAGGACGAACGCUGGCGGCGUGCUUAACACAUGCAAGUCGAACGAGGAUGUUGGCUUCGGCUGACAUUCGAGUGGCGGACGGGUGAGUAACGCGUGAGCAAUCUGUCCCACAGAGGGGGAUAACAACUGGAAACAGUUGCUAAUACCGCAUAAGACCACACUGUCGCAUGACAGAGAGGUCAAAGGAGCAAUCCGCUGUGGGGUGAGCUCGCGUCCGAUUAGUUAGUUGGUGAGGUAACGGCCCACCAAGACAGCGAUCGGUAGCCGACCUGAGAGGGUGAUCGGCCACAUUGGGACUGAGACACGGCCCAGACUCCUACGGGAGGCAGCAGUGGGGAAUAUUGGGCAAUGGGCGAAAGCCUGACCCAGCAACGCCGCGUGAGGGAAGAAGGUUUUCGGAUUGUAAACCUCUGUCCUAAGGGACGAAGGAAGUGACGGUACCUUAGGAGGAAGCCCCGGCUAACUACGUGCCAGCAGCCGCGGUAAUACGUAGGGGGCGAGCGUUGUCCGGAAUGACUGGGCGUAAAGGGCGUGUAGGCGGCAGUAUAAGUCCGGAGUGAAAGUCCUGCUUUCAAGGUGGGAAUUGCUUUGGAGGCUGUACAGCUUGAGUGCGGAAGAGGUAAGUGGAAUUCCCAGUGUAGCGGUGAAAUGCGUAGAGAUUGGGAGGAACACCAGUGGCGAAGGCGACUUACUGGGCCGUAACUGACGCUGAGGCGCGAAAGCGUGGGGAGCGAACAGGAUUAGAUUCCCUGGUAGUCCACGCGGUAAACGAUGGAUGCCCGCUGUUUGCACGUUAGUGUGAGCGGCCAAGCGAAAGCAUUAAGCAUCCCACCUGGGGAGUACGCCGGCAACGGUGCAACUCAAAUGAAUUGACGGA
rnacentral:rRNA from 1 species